rnacentral:tRNA from 1 species
GGAUUGUGGCUCAGCGGUAGAGUGCUCGCCUAGCAUGUGAGAGGCCCUGGGUUCGAUUCUCAGCACCA